CGCUUGUGUCCUAAUGUUUGUUCCAUUUCUCGCAUUAGCUCAGGUGGAUACCUAUGAGUUUUCUCGAAGCUUCAAAUGUGUAUCUCGUGGAGGCAAUUUCACUGCCAACAGCACUUUCUCCAGCAAUCUCAACAGCCUUGUCUCCUCCCUCUCCUCACUCAAAUCCAAACAUUAUGGCUUCUACAACCUCUCUUCUGGAGACUCAUCUGGAGAAACCGCUCACUCAAAUCCAGUCUAUGCUUGGUCUUGAAGUGUAAGAAGAACAAGUCUAGAGAUAAAGUCAAAGGUAACUACAAUGUUCUUCUUCUUGUUAAUGGUAUUCUGUUAAAAAGGAUAAACUAUAAUCCUGAUAACUACUGUCAGCAUAUUCAGUUCUUGGAAAUUCGCCAUUGUCGGGAUCAAUUGCCGAGGAUGAGUUCUCGAACACAGAUUCUCUGUUAGUUGACUUUGAAAAUCUAAAGGCCGCAACAAAUAACUUUUCUCCCGAAAAUGAACUUGGACGUGGUGGGUUUGGUUCAGUUUUCUCUGUAGAUGAAAUUGAUAUGAAAAACUUUUUUUUGUUCCCUUUCUUAAGAUCCGACGACUUUCCGAUCUGAUAAUUCUUACCUUCUCCAAUUUUAAAAAAAAAAAAUCCUAAAACUGGACAAGAACGUGUAGUUUUCGGUUCGGUUUAUCCCGGUUAUUGUGUGUUUCAAAUUUUAAAUCUGUUUCGACCCGGGCUUGGUUCACACUAUAUCUCCGGCGACUAGUUCUUUUGCUCUCCCCAGCUUUAAAAUCCGCCGUCGCAAGACUCGGUUCCUCUCUGUUUCCUCACCGUCAACGCCAUCAAGGAAAAUCCGAUUUACUAGCCGCAAGUGGUUUCGAAGCAGAUUGAAGAAUCCAAACCCAUAAUCAUCGUUUCGGUUCGACAAAAUCAAACCGAUACAUCCAUGGAGGUCCAGGUUCCUGUGCCAAAGAUAUUAACAUUUUGGAUGGUUUCCGGUUUGCAUAUUGCAGGUUAUAGUGAAGAAGCUACAUUGUAGGUUCCAAUUGCAUUUUUAGUUUUGGCCUUCAGAUUUUAGUUUGACAAGUCUUAUGCCUAAACCAGGAUAUAUAUAGAUGUUUCCUCUUACUUUCGUAGUUUGUAGUAAAGCAAACGCAUUUGGUUUCCCCGGUUUGGCCCCUUAUAAAGUCACAUUCCUAAAUUCUGAAAAAGAUAACUCAUUUAGCGAGUAAGAUCCAUGAUGGGUCUCUACUUAAUACUCUGUUUACUAUUAUUUAGAUUAAUGUAAGAUUGAUUAGUUUGAAGUUCUAGUUGGUGUGAAAAGUAUUCAAAGUGUCAGUUUUUUUUGGUCCCAGUUCAAAUUGGUACUUGGGAGGAAAGUGGUGAGCAAUAAUGUAUAUAAAGUUUUUCUCACCACCGUUGACCCGACUCGCAAAGACUGCCCACUAGUGUCUGCUACUGACUUUUAUAAUCGUGUUUGAUCGGAAAGUUGUGUUUUUUUCUGCUGUCAGAUUUUGAAAUUAUUUCAAACGUCAUAUUAGAUCGACCUUUACCAUAAUAACCAGAAGAAGAAAAAAAAAAGGUUCAAAGAUUCCAUGGAUCAUCUCAGAGUUAUCUUCUUCUUCUUCGCUUGUGUCCUAAUGUUUGUUCCAUUUCUCGCCUUAGCUCAGGUGGAUACCUAUGAGUUUUCUCCAAGGUUCAAAUGUGUAUCUCGUGGAGGCAAUUUCACGGCCAACAGCACUUUCUCCAUCAAUCUCAACAGCCUUGUCUCCUCCCUCUCUUCACUCACAUCCAAACCUUAUGGCUUCUACAACCUCUCUUCUGGAGACUCAUCUGGAGAAAGAGCUUAUGCAAUUGGUCUUUGCAGAAGAGAAGUCAACAGAGAUGAUUGUCUCAGCUGUAUUCAUACAGCUGCAAGAAACCUCACCGAGCAGUGUCCGGUUUCGAAACAAGCCGUUGUGUGG
rnacentral:lncRNA from 1 species